rnacentral:tRNA from 1 species
GGCUCGGUGGUGUAGUUGGUUAUCACGUCAGUCUAACACUCGUUAGUCCCACUGAAGGUCCCGAGUUCAAACCUCGGCUGAGUCA